rnacentral:rRNA from 1 species
UACGUAGGCAGCAAGCGUUGUUCGGAAUUACUGGGCGUAAAGAGUGUGUAGGCGGUGCUCCAAGUCUGGUGUGAAAUCUCCCGGCUCAACUGGGGGGGUGCGCUAGAAACUGGAAUGCUAGAGGAUGGGAGAGGUGAGCGGAAUUCCUGGUGUAGCGGUGAAAUGCGUAGAUAUGAGGAGGAACACCUGUGGUGUAGGCAGCUUACUGGACCAUUUCUGACGCUGAGACGCGAAAGCGUGGGUAGCAAACAGG